CAAGUCGAGCGCACCUUCGGGCGAGCGGCGGACGGGUUAGUAACGCGUGGGAACAUACGCUUCUCUAAGGAAUAGCCACUGGAAACGGUGAGUAAUACCUUAUACGCCCUUCGGGGGAAAGAUUUAUCGGAGAUGGAUUGGCCCGCGUUAGAUUAGAUAGUUGGUGGGGUAACGGCCUACCAAGUCUACGAUCUAUAGCUGGUUUUAGAGGACGAUCAGCAACACUGGGACUGAGACACGGCCCAG
rnacentral:rRNA from 1 species